UGGGGAAUCUUGGACAAUGGGGGAAACCCUGAUCCAGCGAUGCCGCGUGGGUGAAGAAGGCCUUCGGGUUGUAAAGCCCUUUAAGUUGGGAAGAAGUAGUUGGUGUGAAUAGCGCUGAUUAUUGACGGUACCGACAGAAUAAGCACCGGCAAACUCUGUGCCAGCAGCCGCGGUAAUACAGAGGGUGCGAGCGUUAAUCGGAUUAACUGGGCGUAAAGGGCGCGUAGGCGGUCGUAUGAGUGUGGUGUGAAAGCCCUGGGCUUAACCUAGGAAGCGCAUCGCAAACGAUAUGACUGGAGUAUUGGAGAGGGUAGCGGAAUUUCCGGUGUAGCGGUGAAAUGCGUAGAGAUCGGAAGGAACGUCAAUGGCGAAGGCAGCUACCUGGCCAAAUACUGACGCUGAGGCGCGAAAGCGUGGGGAGCAAACAGGAUUAGAUACCCCCGUAGUCC
rnacentral:rRNA from 1 species